rnacentral:rRNA from 1 species
GACGAACGCUGGCGGCGUGCUUAACACAUGCAAGUCGAACGGUGAAGGGAUCAGCUUGCUGGUUCUGGAUGAGUGGCGAACGGGUGAGUAACACGUGAGUAACCUGCCCCCUUCUUCUGGAUAACCGCAUGAAAGUGUGGCUAAUACGGGAUAUUCUGCGCCUGCUGCAUGGUGGGUGGGGGAAAGAUAUUGUUUCGGUGGGGGAUGGGCUCGCGGCCUAUCAGCUUGUUGGUGGGGUGAUGGCCUACCAAGGCGGGGACGGGUAGCCGGCCGGAGGGGGGGGACGGUCACACUGGGACUGAGCCACGGCCCAGACUCCUACGGGAGGCAGCAGUGGGGAAUAUUGCACAAUGGGCGCAAGCCUGAUGCAGCGACGCCGCGUGAGGGAUGGAGGCCUUCGGGUUGUGAACCUCUUUCGCCAGUGAAGCAGGCCUGUCCCUUGUGGGUGGGUUGAUGGUAGCUGGAUAAGAAGCGCCGGCUAACUACGUG